CCAGUCUAAUAAUAGGUCACAAACGCGUAGACACUGGCACUGAAAACGUCGUAAGGAAACGUGCAUGUGUCUAAUUCCACUGAAAUUCUGCCACAUGUGUAUUCCAUCAACCCACAUUGGAGCAGCGUGGUGGAAUAAGCUCCAAAACCGUCUCCUCAAAAGAGGAGAGGAGGCCUUAGCCCAACAGUGGGACAUACACAGACUGUUACUGUAACGUUGCAGCCCCCAAUUUCCAUGGGAAUCAAGACAAACAGACAUGUUCAUGUCUGUCCUG